rnacentral:rRNA from 1 species
CAGUAGCCGCGGGAAAACGUAGGGUGCAAGCGUUAAUCGGAAUUACUGGGCGUAAAGCGUGCGCAGGCGGUUAUAUAAGACAGAUGUGAAAUCCCCGGGCUCAACCUGGGAACUGCAUUUGUGACUGUAUAGCUAGAGUACGGCAGAGGGGGAUGGAAUUCCGCGUGUAGCAGUGAAAUGCGUAGAUAUGCGGAGGAACACCGAUGGCGAAGGCAAUCCCCUGGGCCUGUACUGACGCUCAUGCACGAAAGCGUGGGGAGCAAACAGGAUUAGAUACCCCGGUAGUCCCUGUCUCUUAUAA